rnacentral:rRNA from 1 species
CCUACGGGAGGCUGCAGUGGGGAAUAUUGCGCAAUGGGGGAAACCCUGACGCAGCGACGCCGCGUGAGCGAAGAAGGCCUUAGGGUCGUAAAGCUCUGUUUUAGGGGACGAAUGUCGAGAGGAAUAAUACGUCUCUCGAAUGACGGUACCCUAAGAGGAAGCCCCGGCUAACUACGUGCCAGCAGCCGCGGUAAGACGUAGGGGGCGAGCGUUGUCCGGAAUUACUGGGCGUAAAGAGCACGUAGGCGGGACUUUAAGUCAGAUGUGAAAGACCGGGGCUCAACCCCGGGGUUGCAUUUGAAACUGGAGUUCUUGAGGGCAGGAGAGGGCAGUAGAAUUCCUGGUGUAGCGGUGAAAUGCGUAGAAAUCAGGAGGAAUACCAGUGGCGAAGGCGACUGUCUGGACUGACCCUGACGCUGAGGUGCGAAAGCGUGGGUAGCAAACAGGCUUAGAUACCCGAGUAGUC